AUUGAACGCUGGCGGCAGGCUUAACACAUGCAAGUCGAGCGGGGUGAUGGUGCUUGCACUAUCACUUAGCGGCGGACGGGUGAGUAAUGCUUAGGAAUCUGCCUAUUAGUGGGGGACAACAUCUCGAAAGGGAUGCUAAUACCGCAUACGUCCUACGGGAGAAAGCAGGGGAUCACUUGUGACCUUGCGCUAAUAGAUGAGCCUAAGUCGGAUUAGCUAGUUGGUGGGGUAAAGGCCUACCAAGGCGACGACCUGUAGCGGGUCUGAGAGGAUGGUCCGCCACACUGGGACUGAGACACGGCCCAGACUCCUACGGGAGGUAGCAGUGGGGAAUAUUGGACAAUGGGGGGAACCCUGAUCCAGCCAUGCCGCGUGUGUGAAGAAGGCCUUAUGGUUGUAAAGCACUUUAAGCGAGGAGGAGGCUCUUUUGGUUAAUGCCCAAGAUGAGUGGACGUUACUCGCAGAAUAAGCACCGGCUAACUCUGUGCCAGCCGCCGCCGUAACAC
rnacentral:rRNA from 1 species